GAGGGGGGGAGGAGGAGGAGGAAGAAGAGGACACAACGCGAUUGGUUGCUAGGCUCGUGACGUCAGGCAGCCGGGAAAAGGAAGAAGGGGGAGCGCGAGAGCGGAGACGCGGAAAAGGUCAAACUCAAGACGAGGAGGAGACGCGCGAGGAGGAGGAGGAGGAGGGCCACGCGCGCAGCAGGAUGCUUACUAUUUGACAGAAUGCUGAAUGCUCCUCACACCAGGUUCCAGUAGAAGACUUCAGAGAUGAAGACUAGUUCUAACAAAACUUUGGUAGGUUUAGAAUAGCUACAUACAUAUUGUGGAUCACUUGAAAAAUGAUAUGUGUUGUUCCUGAAAGUAUUGUGUCUUCCGUAGGAAGAAGGUAAAAACAGAUGCUUAUACAUUUAGUGGACAGAGUUGCAGUCAUUGCAUCAAAAUGUGUAGCCUUCUUUGGCAGGAAUGGCUGUAUCUGUUCCAUUUGCACCUCACAGGUGACAUAAAGUUUAUCAACAAAUCCUGAAUGUAUUUAUUUAUUUUCUCUCCUAAUUUUCUCCCUCGGUUUGAAUUUUAAAGUUUUGUAUCAAGACAUAAUACAUUAUAUGUGAUCGUGUGAAUAAAUUAUAUACAUAAUACAUAAAA